GAUGAACGCUGGCGGCGUGCCUAAUACAUGCAAGUCGAGCGAACGGACGAGAAGCUUGCUUCUCUGAUGUUAGCGGCGGACGGGUGAGUAACACGUGGAUAACCUACCUAUAAGACUGGGAUAACUUCGGGAAACCGGAGCUAAUACCGGCUAAUCUUUUGAACCGCAUGGUUCAAAAGUGAAAGACGGUCUUGCUGUCACUUAUAGAUGGAUCCGCGCUGCAUUAGCUAGUUGGUAAGGUAACGGCUUACCAAGGCAACGAUGCAUAGCCGACCUGAGAGGGUGAUCGGCCACACUGGAACUGAGACACGGUCCAGACUCCUACGGGAGGCAGCAGUAGGGAAUCUUCCGCAAUGGGCGAAAGCCUGACGGAGCAACGCCGCGUGAGUGAUGAAGGUCUUCGGAUCGUAAAACUCUGUUAGUAGGGAAGAACAUAUGUGUAAGUAACUGUGCACAUAUUGACGGUACCUAAUCAGAAAGCCACGGCUAACUACGUG
rnacentral:rRNA from 1 species